CUUGUUAUUCAAUAUUGAAUAGCGCACCUCAUCCUGUAUGAUCACCUUGGCUGAUCAAAUUCUACAGACCGUUUGUCAUACACAUGUAGGUAUCGAUCUGUCGAAAACGCGUAAGUAUGAAUAGACAUCGACCUUCAAUAGAAAAAGUGACAACAACAGUGAAUUACAGCACGCUAUAGUGAAUUCCCUUGCAUCGAAAAUCUAGUUUUUUUUGCCAUUCGAUUAGUUUUAUAAAAGCCGUAGUUUGUUUAAUAUUGCGCUAGUAGAUAACUUAGAUACAACACUAUUCAAGGCUGGUAAGCAAAAACUAAUUUAUAUAUGCAGAAAAAUCAACUGAACUAGAAUCUUCAUCAUUUAGGUUAGCUACAAUCGGCACAUAUAAGAGCAUACAGUUUUGCAUCAAAUGCGUUAUUGAUUGGUGAGAAAAAUUGCAAAUAUACUUCACAUUGCUUCUAAAUGCCUCAAAAUCAAAUAAUGAAAUGUAGGUUCCACGACAUCGGGCCGAGGUAAAGUUUGAGCUAAGAAAACGCUACCAUCUGAGCUACAUAUAUGGUGAGAUAAGCCGAUAUUAUUAUACUCUCGUAGAAAUGCGCUAACUGAUACUAUCAUAGGCACUCGCAUAGACCCGUAACAACCUCGAAAACAUCCACCGUACGAGAGACUGAUUGCUACCUAAGAGGAACUAAACGUGAGUUAAAAACCAUAGCCGCAUAACAAAAAUAUGUUGUUUAGGGGUUCGCCUAACGAAUCCCACGGAUCACUUCUGAAAAACUCUAUAACUUAAAAUAUCGUGCCUUCUAUUUCAUAAGUUUUGUUUAUAUCUGUUCUCUAUCAAUAUGUUGCCCGCAGGAAAAUUAUAUUCUCCCAGAAACGAGCUGAUUGUGUUUUUAAUUCAGUGCCUGUAGGAGAAUAACUUUUCGGAGAUUGAUUCCCGUUGAAACGACUUUCAACAGCAUAUAAUUUUCGUUUAUCGGACGAGUUGAGCGUGAUGCCGAGUCGCGGGUGUAUCAAGUCGGGUGCGAAGGGCGAUAAAGGCGCGCGAAAAAUGUCAGAUGAAGGUGGUGCGGUUGGUGGUCAAAGUGCUGGUGGUGGUGAGAUUCCAAAUGUGGUAGUUGUGGACGAAACGUUGGAAGGACAUUCGUGUAAGACGUGCAAAGAAGCGGACACCAAGACGAUGGUUCAGUGUGACAAAUGCGAUGGGUGGUUUCAUUUUUCCUGUGUGGGUGUUUCUGAAGAUAUUGCCGACAAGAGCUGGAGCUGUACAAACUGCGUUACCGCGACAUGGAUCCAGCGAACUAAGGCAGCUUUAGACAACGGCACCAAACAGGGCGAUGACAACUUGGAGCGCAAGUCAACCAGGAGCCAGCCGAUUGGCCACAUCGUUACUAGCACACGCACCAAUCUAGUGAUUCCUCCAGGAAAUGAAGUCCAUAAAGCUGCUUCCGAGGAUCUCGUCAGCAGCGUUCGAAAACCCUCUUCAAAAGUGGUGACCGCUCAAACGAAGGCCGACCAACAGAAGCAGUUGUCUAACAGAGAUAAUCGGGAAGCAGAUCUUCCGGUCGAGGACGCAGCGAAAGCCUUAUCAGAGGUUUCCUUUUCUUCGUCGCAGAAGUCAGCGGUUAGUCGUGCAAGGCUUCAGCUGAUGCGGCUACAGGAGGAAAGGGAAUUCCAGCAGCAGCAAGAAGAGCGCCGAAGAAUCGCCGAAGAAAAAGCUACACAAGAACAUCGAAAGUAUCUGGAGGAGAAGUAUCGGUUGCUCGAAGAGGCGUUGAGCGAGAGAAGUUCGAGGAGAAGUGAAAACGGAUCGAAGAGCCGCAGUGAAGCUUCAAGCCGAGUGAUCGACUGGGUACAGAAAACCAGUCAGAUGCAGCAGAUCGUACCAGAUGUGAGUGGUCAUAGUAGGGAUAGACCACAACCCCCCGUUGACACCAUGGAGCCAACGCAAACCACUGGGCGGUUCGUACAGCCACGAAUUCGUUUCGAACCAAACGCCCAUAAUGGCUUCGCCAGUAAUACACAAACUGGUCAACAAUUCGACCUGCGUUCAAGGAUGCAGCCGACUCACACAGCAGCAGCAACGACCGCAGCUGUGAGGCAGCCAUCGCAGUCCAAUCACUUCCGUCAGGGAGGAAUGCCACCAAAUCUUAUCGGUGAUCCGUUCACCUGGUCAUCCAGACCCCCAUUCAAUUCCACUAUAUUUGAUGGACAGGUCCUGGCUCCACCGGCCUGCUCUACCGGUGUCCACAAUCAGAACCCUCGGAGUGGCCUCCAAGGCUUCCACGGACUGUCUCAGGAGGAGUCUCAGGAUGAAUUUCAGCUCUCUCGAUCCCAAGUGGCAGCCAGACAAGCAGUACCGAGGGAUUUGCCAACGUUUUCCGGUAACCCAGAAGAAUGGCCGAUAUUUCUGUCGAUGUACAACCGUACGACCACGAUGUGCGGGUUCACCGAGGAGGAGAACCUAGUUCGACUGCAGAAGAGCCUGAAAGGCAAGGCCUAUGAAGCGGUAAAAAGUCGUCUGAUGUUCCCAGGAAACGUUUCAGGUAUUCUGUCGACCCUGAAAAUGCUGUUCGGGCAACCCGAAGUCAUUAUUCAGUCGCUAAUUGAGAAAGUGAGCUCUCUACCGGCCAUCAGGGAAGACAAGUUGGAUGCGCUGGUUGACUUCGCCGUACAUGUGCAGAACUUCUGUGCCACCGUAGACGCGUGUGGCCUGCAGGAGUAUAUGUACAACGUUACGUUGCUACAUCAGUUAGUCAGCAAGCUUCCAUCCUCGCUCAAACUUAAUUGGGCCCAGCAUCGUCUAACCGAACCCACGGCCAACCUGGCGACAUUCAGCAAUUGGAUAUACACCUUGGCAGAAGCGGCAAGCAUCGUCACCUUCUCGCCACCGGUGCAGUAUGAAAACCCUCCCCGAAAUGAGGCUCGCGGUUCCAAAAAGGGAAAUGCGUAUCUCAACGCCCACUCUGACGCUUCUGAGGAGAGCAAGAAUGCUUUGUCGAAGGAACAUACUAAAUCAGCGCCGGCAAAACAGAUUUGUCCAAUCUGUAAGGACACCUGCAAAUCCGCCGACAAGUGUAAGCGCUUCGUCGAGUUAUCCAGAGAAUCACGUUGGGCUGCUAUUAGGGAGUUUGGUCUGUGCAGAACCUGUCUGCGAAUGCACAAGGGAAACUGCAACGCCAAACCGUGCGGUAAAAAUGGGUGCACAUAUCGGCACCACGAGCUGCUGCAUAACGAUUCGAAGGAGAGGCCUCAGAAUACCGCAACCACGGCUACAGCCGGAAACGAAAGCAAGCCAUCAGCUACACCCUGCACAAAUUCAUCUGGAUGCAAUACUCAUCAAACAGCCACCAACUCUGCGCUGUUUCGCUACCUCCCCGUCGUUCUGUACGGAAAAACGACUGUAGUUCACACGCACGCCUUCUUGGACGAGGGUUCCGAGCUUACCCUGCUUGAUCAAGAGCUGGCUGAUCUGCUAGAGCUGGAUGGUGCCGAACGACCGCUAUGCCUACGUUGGACGGGAGGAACGGAACGCUGUGAACCGGAUUCCCGAGCAUACAAUCUUCAAAUCGCUGGAGCUAAAGAGAGAAGUAAGCGGUUCGACAUCAACGAUGUACGAACGGUGAAAGAGCUUAAGCUACCAUCGCAAACAUUGGAUAUGAGCAAACUGUCCCAGGAGUAUUCACAUCUCCGAGAUCUGCCGAUCGACUCCUACCGAGAUGUACGACCACGCAUACUGAUCGGAACUAAACACGCCCAUCUUGGCCUCGUGUUGAAAAGUCGAGAGGGAGAAUUCGGGCAGCCGAUAGCAGUUAAGUCGCGGCUGGGCUGGACCAUCUGUGGAGGACAAGUCAGUGAUCGUGGAGCAAACCUUCACCACUACAGCUUCCACAUCUGUCCGUGUAACACCGAAGCAGACAAGGACCUACACCAAGUAAUGAAGGACUACUUUUCUCUCGACAGCCUAGGAGUCACCAAACCGGACAAGUUGCUGUUAUCCGUCGAAGAUGAACGGGCUCUCACGCUGUUACAGUCACUUACGCACCGCCGAGAGGAUCGAUACGAAUCCGGCCUACUCUGGAGAUAUGACGAUACCCGUCUACCGGAUAGUCGAUCCAUGGCGCUGCAACGGUUCCAAUGCCUGAAGAAGAGGAUGGAUAAAGAGCCAGAGCUGCGAACAACCAUGCAGGGAAAAAUCGACGAGUACCUGGCAAAAGGCUACAUCAGGCUGCUCAGUGAUGAUGAAGUUAACCAGAAAGUACUGCGCCGGUGGUAUCUACCGGUUUUCCCCGUAACCAAUCCGAACAAACCCGGCAAAGUACGGGUAGUGUGGGACGCAGCGGCAUGCGCCCACGGCACUUCGCUCAACUCGGCUCUUCUCAAAGGACCAGACCUACUUUGCUCCCUCCUCACAAUUCUGCUCCAGUUUCGAGAACGUCGCAUCGGACUCACCGGCGAUAUACGUGAAAUGUUUCACCAGGUGUUGAUCCGUGCCGAAGACCAAUUUAGCCAGUGCUUCUACUGGGUGAACGAACGUGGAGAAACCGAGGUGUAUGCCAUGCAGGUUAUGACCUUCGGAGCAUGCUGCUCCCCAACAACUGCACAGUUCGUGAAGAACAUAAAUGCCGACCGUUUCGCAUGCGAUUAUCCAGCAGCACAUCGAGCCAUCACGAAGUCCCACUAUGUCGACGAUAUGCUGGUCAGCGUGGACUCUGAAGAGCAGGCCAUCCAGCUGGCUAAGGAUGUUAGACACGUCCACCAACAAGGCGGGUUCGAGAUUCGGAACUGGAUCAGUAACUCAAGUGUGGUACUGGCGGCGCUGCAAGGAGUGGAUACCGAUGAGAAAUGUCUCGACCUGUCUUCCGAAUUGGCCACAGAGAAGGUUUUAGGCAUGUGGUGGAACACGACCGACGACGUCUUCACCUACAAAGUGGGAUGGAACCGAUACGAUCCGGGUUUGCUAGGAGGUGAACGCAGGCCAACGAAACGGGAAGUUCUUCGCGUUUUGAUGACCAUCUUCGACCCGCUUGGUCUAAUUUCCCACUUCCUGUCGUACCUAAAGAUUCUGCUACAGCAAAUCUGGCGAUCCGGCGUACAGUGGGAUGACGAAAUCGAUGAUGACGCCUAUGACAAAUGGCUUACUUGGUUGAAGGUGUUGCCACGCGUCGAACAUGUGCAGAUUCCUCGGUGCUACAACUCCAAAUACCUUACGAACGAAGCCGAUGAAGUUCAGCUGCAUACAAUGGUGGAUGCUAGCGAGAACGGUACGGCCGCCGUUUGUUACCUUCGUUUUGUCUACGAAGGAUCCGCUUUCUGCUCCAUAGUCGCAGCCAAAACUCGAGUUGCUCCGCUCAAGUUUACGUCGAUACCACGACUGGAACUCGAAGCCGCUUUACUUGGCGCCCGACUGUCGCAUACCGUCCAAAAGGCGCUAAGCUUCAAGAUCCAUCGGAAGCUGUACUGGUCAGAUUCCAGAGAUGUUCUCUGCUGGAUCAACUCGGACCACCGGCGUUACAGUCAGUAUGUAGGCCAUAGGAUUAGUGAAAUACUGGAAACAUCCGAAAUGAACGAAUGGCGAUGGGUUCCGGGCAAGCAAAAUCCUGCCGACGAUGCCACCAAGUGGAAUACUCUACCAGAACUGACAUCUAAAGAUAGGUGGUUCAAAGGUGCAGAUUUUCUCUGGCGCCCUGAAGAGGACUGGCCGAAGUCGACUAACCGCAAGGAUACGACCGAUAACGAAUUACGUCCGUCGCUUCUAGCACACCAUGCUUCUUCGGAGCCAGUACUCCGACUCGACGAUUUCUCGUCAUGGGAGAGACUACGCAGAGCAGUCGCAUUCGUUCACCGAUUUGUCGAUAACUGUCGCCAAAGACAUCGAGGAAUGGCGACGGCUACAGGCCCCCUAGCGACGAAGGAGCUGCUGACAGCUGAGCAUUCCCUGAUUCGACUUUGUCAACGGGAAUCCUACCCUGACGAGAUAGCGACGCUGCAAAAUCCAAAGAGAACUACGGGUGUACCGAAAUCCAGCUCCCUAUACCAGCUGACACCCUGGCUGGACGAUAACGGCAUUAUGCGCAUGCGAACCCGUAUAGGUGCAUGUCACUACGCCACAGAUGAUUCCAAGAAACCAAUCAUCCUUCCACAAAAACACCAAACCACCCGUCUGAUCGUUGCACAUUACCACCGCAAAUAUCAUCACCACAACCACGAAACGGUGAUAAAUGAAAUUCGACAAAAAUUUCGCAUUCCCCGCUUGCGUGUGUGCUACCAACAAGUGCGCAAGAACUGCCAGCAAUGCAAGAACCAGCACGCAGUUCCAAAUCCACCGUUCAUGGCCGAUCUUCCACCCGCUCGCCUUGCAGCGUUUUCACGACCGUUCACGCACGUCGGAGUCGACUACUUCGGUCCGAUAGAGGUCAGCGUCGGCAGAAGAGUAGAAAAGCGGUGGGUCAUGCUCGCCACCUGUUUGACCAUCCGAGCGAUCCACUUGGAGGUCGUGCACUCCCUCAAUACGAGUUCCUGCGUCAUGGCCCUUCGCAACUUCAUAGCACGUCGUGGCACCCCUCAGAAAGUCUACAGUGAUCGUGGAACGAACUUUGUGGGCGCGGAUCGCGAGUUACGGCGACUAAACAAAGAGAUUAUCCAGGACGAUUUCAUGAGAGAACUAGGGAGUUCUGGAUUCGAGUGGAUCUUCAACCCGCCUCUUGCCCCACACAUGGGUGGAAGUUGGGAGCGGCUGAUUCGUACCGUGAAGAACAACCUGAUGCUGGUGUGCUCGACGAAAAGACCCUCCGACGAAAUUCUCCGAAAUGUGCUGACCGAAGUUGAGAAUAUUGUAAACUCAAGACCUUUAUCCCAUGUUCCGAUAGAUGACGAUUCGGCUCCAGCACUAACACCGAACCAUUUUUUGCUUGGCUCGUCCGGUGGGUUGAAGCCGUUGAGCAACCUCGACGACAGCGGUGCAGCCUUAAAGCAGAACUGGCUAACGUCCCAAGUUUUAGCAAAUCAGUACUGGAAACGUUGGGUAUCGGACUACCUUCCAGAGAUCACCCGCAGGUCCAAGUGGUUUCAACAGGUGAAACCAAUUACUGUCGGUGAUAUAGUCGUCAUUGCUGAUCCAAAGAUGCCCCGUAACUAUUGGCCGAAGGGAAAAAUCAUCGGCACAAGAGUCAGCGCAGAUGGCCAGGUCCGAUCGGCGACUGUCAGAACAUCUAGUGGUGUCUACGAUCGCCCGGCGACGAAGUUGGCGAUUCUGGACGUUCGGUGCGGCGGAUAGUAAGUCGAUUUACGAUCGUCGUACCCGGGGGGAGUGUUAUUCAAUAUUGAAUAGCGCACCUCAUCCUGUAUGAUCACCUUGGCUGAUCAAAUUCUACAGACCGUUUGUCAUACACAUGUAGGUAUCGAUCUGUCGAAAACGCGUAAGUAUGAAUAGACAUCGACCUUCAAUAGAAAAAGUGACAACAACAGUGAAUUACAGCACGCUAUAGUGAAUUCCCUUGCAUCGAAAAUCUAGUUUUUUUUUGCCAUUCGAUUAGUUUUAUAAAAGCCGUAGUUUGUUUAAUAUUGCGCUAGUAGAUAACUUAGAUACAACACUAUUCAAGGCUGGUAAGCAAAAACUAAUUUAUAUAUGCAGAAAAAUCAACUGAACUAGAAUCUUCAUCAUUUAGGUUAGCUACAAUCGGCACAUAUAAGAGCAUACAGUUUUGCAUCAAAUGCGUUAUUGAUUGGUGAGAAAAAUUGCAAAUAUACUUCACAUUGCUUCUAAAUGCCUCAAAAUCAAAUAAUGAAAUGUAGGUUCCACGACAUCGGGCCGAGGUAAAGUUUGAGCUAAGAAAACGCUACCAUCUGAGCUACAUAUAUGGCACUCGCAUAGACCCGUAACAACCUCGAAAACAUCCACCGUACGAGAGACUGAUUGCUACCUAAGAGGAACUAAACGUGAGUUAAAAACCAUAGCCGCAUAACAAAAAUAUGUUGUUUAGGGGUUCGCCUAACGAAUCCCACGGAUCACUUCUGAAAAACUCUAUAACUUAAAAUAUCGUGCCUUCUAUUUCAUAAGUUUUGUUUAUAUCUGUUCUCUAUCAAUAUGUUGCCCGCAGGAAAAUUAUAUUCUCCCAGAAACGAGCUGAUUGUGUUUUUAAUUCAGUGCCUGUAGGAGAAUAACUUUUCGGAGAUUGAUUCCCGUUGAAACGACUUUCAACACCUCUCUUUAUACCUCUUCAACGACUCUAAAUUUGGAAUUUGCGGAGAAUUCAGGAUCUGAAUCAAAUUAAAAAUGGACGGAAACGACAAUUCUCGUUAUUUUCUACAAACUACGAGCUAAUUUGAUGACAAAAUUCAAGAGUUUACUUUCGUUGGACAGGUAGGUUUGAGGUUAGGAAAUCACCACCAGAAAAUUUUAGAUAGACGUUUUUCCAAGACUUUCACUAGAUUUCUAAAAAAAUUCUAGCAAUACACCCGGCUGCUUUGUUUUCAAAACUUUGGCAUACACUGAUAAUAUUUUUGAUAAAUUCCUUCCAGGCACUCCUGUCAAUUCGGGAGGAGUUGUGUGUUCACGUUCACCUGAUUUCGAGAUCAUUGUUAGAUUCCUUCUCUGGUAUUAAGCAAAGCCACAGAAAUAUUAUUAAGAUUUCUUCUGAUUUUUUUAGCGCAUUCAUUGAUGAUACAUUGCAGAUGCCUUGUAGGGUCAGUACUUGUGAACAUCCAUUACGAGUUCUUGGAAAAAAUAUGAUAUUUAUUAGGAAAGUUUUGGCAGACUUGUUCCAUGAUUCUUCGCGAAUAUCUGAGAUGGUUUUUGCUGGAUUAAAUGUUAACUCGCCAGCUGGAACAAUGGAAAUAUUACUCUCAAUCCCUUGGAGCACCAUACAAUAGUUCAGUUGUUCUAAUUAAGUCGAAUAAUUUUCCAUGAACUAUUUCAUGAAUUUAAAUUUAAACUUUAACAUGCACUUUUCUGAAGCGUUGCGGUGCACUUGUCAUGGCUUCGCGGUGCACCAAGUGCACCGCGGUGCACGAUCUGAAAACCGCUGAUUUAGAGUAACCAUAAGCAAAUUGAACAGUUCAGACUGGGCAACAGGUUGUAAACUAAGGAUGUGUAUUUACAGUUUUUUGUUCUCUUAAAAACUCAAUUAUAUUGAAACGUUUUAUAUGCAAGCAUCAUUAGAUUUCCCAGGAUGUAAACUGUGUAGUCAAUGCUGAUAUUUCUACUCUGGAGCAUCGCUGAUAGAUCGUAUUUAAGAUUCUGAGAUAUUUUAGCAGCCACGAGACUUCUUGCUUUUGCUAGAGUUAGUGACAGUCUGGUUUACAUAAUAUAUGGAACAAGUGAGCAUAUUCCACAUUUUCAAAAAACUGUCACGUUUUAGCGUCAGUCAUUGAUAAUAUUUAAACAAGAAAACAGAUGGAAAAUCUAUUUUGGAGAAUACGCCUUCACAACAAAACACCUAAAUAUUACAAACUUCUAUAAAGAGGGGACUACUGCGGCAUUGAGUAUAAACAUUUUACCAAUUUUCUAAUUAUAUGUAUCAAUCUAACAUUUGUUUCUGAAGAUCUUUAUUGUAUUGGUUGAAUUUAUCAUCAAUAUAGACUGUUUCAGAAAUUAUAAAUACACUUUGUUUAUUAAAUUAAAUGAACUGUUCUAAUGAUUUUUACCAACUUCUUUCAGAGUAUAGCAUAUUGUACUCCAUAUUUUUAUAUUUCCUUUCAGUUGUCUUGAUAUUUUAAAGAACAGUCGAGUUCUCUAACAAAUAACUCAAUUUUUCAAAUUUGCAUUUACACAAAGGUGUUUUUUAAUGAUGUCAACAUUAUUUAUCACUAAAUACCAAAAAUUAUCUCAAUUUUUAUCACAUUCGCUUUCUCAAAAAGUUGUCUAAGAAAUGCCUUGAUCAAAAUUUGAGAAAAAUCGAUAAAGGCAUUUCUACAACAUUUUUUCGGAGAUCAAGUUUCUUAUUUUUUAAGGUUUUCUACGGAACAUAAGAACUACGACACAGUUUCUUAGCUUUCCUGAACGCAUUUAAUCUAAACAAACUUAUUUUUUCAGCUCAUUCGAUCCUCCAGAUGGCAAAGCUUGUCAUACCAUAAAAACGAAUGCAGUAAGCAGUAAUUAAGACAUUCGUUUGGUUAACGUUUGUUGCUACUGGUGUUGUUGAGAAAUUUGAAACAAAAAAAUGUAUUGGGAAGGCCCGUUAUGGUGGUUCUUGAUCAAAUAUUCUAGUAAAAAUUACUCUUACCAAUCGAGAAAUAUCUUUUAUUAUCGAUACAGAAAUUUUUAUUGUGUUUGGAAAUUAAAUAUUUUAUCAGUGAGAUUUUUUUCUUUUCUACUAUGCUACAGUUUUUGACCACUUUGUGCAACUUCAAAUUUUAAUCAUCUAGUUUACAGAGCCCUAUUUUUUAACUUUUACCAGAAACAUCAACAAAAUUGGUAUUAUUUGCUUCGAUAGCAUGUUUACUAUAAGAGCUAGAAGAAACUUUUUUGAAUAUUGUGCUCAAACUGAAAUGGCAGUUAAUCGUUAGUGUAUUAAUAAUUUCUGAAACAGUCUAUAGCAAAUGUUUGGAUGCUUAUGACCCACAAUGAAAUCCAUAAUAUGUCAUUCAGAAUAUUUACUGUUAUACAAUGAAUCAAUAGCCUCAAUACUUCAUGAUACAAAUAAAAAAGUUAUAUGAGAAAUUGCAUCCCUUAAUACCCCACCAGUUUAUGAAACUAGUCUUCUUUCACAAAAAUUGUCGGUGCUCGAAAACCACCUUAGUAAAGUCAAAUAUUUUACCCUCGUUUCGUUUGAAAUAAGUUCUAGAACACCUUACGAUUACUCACAUAUUUUUCCUAAUAAUCUUUCUGGCCUUACAAAUGAAUGUUUCAAUGGUAGCGAAAUUGAGAAAAAGCAAUGCCAUUCAAUUUUUGAUGUCUAGUGUCCAGUUAAAAACUUAUUUUUAUGAGUGGUUAUCUUUAUAGUAUAUGUACCUUUAUUUCUAACACACAUCUGAAGCGAAUUUGGUAUGAUUAAAUCAAUGUUUAACGGUUUGGCGACUUUUCAAAUUAGUAUGUGAAGAUGAAUCCCUUAACACCCCAUGAGUUCUUAACACCCCAUUUUACGGUACCUUCAUUUCGGUGCCGCAGUCGGGUGUCAGCUGGCUUUGUUGCAUUCAAUAAAUCAAUAAAUAUAAAAAAGGGUCAAAUCAAUGUCGUCUGACACGAUGACAUUUGUCUAAUUUUAAAUUCUCGCAUGGAUUUCAACCAAUUCCGAUUAUGAAUAGUAAUAUUAGUUUAUUCUUGCUUGUUGAAUAGAAUACGACACACAUAUGGCGAACACAGCUCUCAUUAGGGAAGAAGACAGGAAUAAAAAAAGCCGAACCGUCUUCCAACGGCGCAAUCAUAGACAUGUGCAUUCGUUUAACAUUUUUGUUUCGUACGGUAGUUUGAUUGCUUGUGUCUCGAAUGUCGGAGACAGAGGCAGCCAAUUACAUUAGUUUACAGCAUUUUUGAACUCGGUAAGCUGAUAAUCAUUUUUGGUGUAGAACCAUGCCCUGAGUUCAAAAACGCGAAGGAAAAAAAAUACAGUAGAUUGGACAUUUUUUCGACUUUCCAUACAAGGUUGAUGAUUUAAAAUCGAUUUUUGUUCUAUUUUUAAGCAACGUCGUUCACUUCACACAUUUAAUUCUCCGUAAUCAAUGCUCCGAUUGAGCUGAAUUUUUUACUGUAACUCGCCUACAUAUGAUAUGUCAAAUAAAUGUUUAGAAAGAAUUUUUAAAUUGUUAUUUUCUUAUUGAAAAAAAUACAUUUCUUCAUAUAUUUUUGGAAAUUUAGCUAAAAUUUAAGGAGAUCGUCCAUAAAACUCGUCAAUAUCUUGAAUUUCAUCAAUCUGACGCAAAACCUGCAUUCAGAUGAUCGAAUGGUAUUGUAUUCAGCUUUCAAUUUAUGGAAAAAGAUUUGAAAUUGGUUGUACAAAAUGCAAGAUAUUUGAAUUUUAGUAAAUUCCAAAUUUUUAAAAGUUGUAAAACUCGAUAUUGAGCUAAAACUCAAAAACUGCUCUACUUAAAAAUUGUUGAAGCACGGUUUCGAAAUCAGUGCUAAAUUGUACCGUAAACCAGGGUCAAAUUGAUCAGCGGGGUGAAAUUGAUCACUCGGGGUACUACAUUGUAAUUCCAUACUAGGAACUCUUAAGCGUCGUAAUGAUCUCAAACUUUUUACGCCAUCUGAUUCGUAGAUGUCUAGAGAUGAGUGUAGACUUUUAAUUUUUUUAGAAAAAAGUUAGUUUUGCCUUAUUUUUUCAAGGAAUUUGCAAUGUAUUUCUCAUUUGACUGAAAUCAUUGCUGCUAAACAAUCAAAUGCUAAUAAGACUUCCCGUGAAUUCUCUGUUUUAACAUUUUUGUGGAGCCUUGGUUGGGAUGUUGAGCAGCUAGUCGGAACAUUAAAUUAUUAUAAAAAAUUCAUUUGUUGAAGAAAAAGUCAUUUAUUGUAUUAUAAAUCACUUAUUUCAAAUGAAAU